rnacentral:tRNA from 1 species
GUUCAACGUGGUGGCGGUGGCGGACUUCAACAUGGGCGCGAU